CCCAUUGAUUCCUAAAUCAAGGAGUCAUUCUUGAUGACUUUCCUUCACCCGAUACCCAAUCCAACAGCAAGUCUUGACAAUCCCACUUUUUAAACAUCCCAACUCUGCCUCCAGGGCAGACCAAGCCACCAUCUUCUCACAUCUUGGCAGCUCAGCCUGCUCACUGUUUCUGCCUUUGCUGCCCCAUUAUCCAUGCUCAUCCCUCUGCUUCAAGCUCUGCCUCAACCUCUCGUUGGUCUAAGAAUAAAAUCCAGUCUCUUAUAUGGCUACAGAGCCCUGCAGAAUCUAGUGCAUACCCUCUCUCCUUCUCUUAUUAUGCUUCACUCAUUCUCAUCUGCUUUCUGCCCCUUUUUCUCCUCCAUGUCUUGCAAUCGAAGUUCCUUCUGGUUGUUGCAGAGUUGGCUCAUUCUGAUUUUAGCUGGACCGUUACAUCCAGAGAAGCUUUCCAUGACCACCCUAAGAGGAUGUCUCUCAGUUAUUCUGUGUCCUAAUACCCUUUUAAUGUCUUUUGUGGCAAUUAUCUUAAUCUAUAAAUAUCUUGACUCCUCAUCUAUUAAUUGAUCUCACUUGCUUUACUUGAAGUACCUUGAGUACAAGGUCCCUCUUUCUGUUCUGCUGUUCAGUAGCAUGUCUCCAGAUCAAUGCUUAAUACAUUUUUCCUGGAUGAAUGAAUGAAUCCUCCUAAAACACAGUAAGUAUUAGAUUCACAUUUUACAGGUGACAAAUGGAGCUUAGAGAGGUUGAUUCUUGCUAUAAAAGGCUGGAAGUGGUGCAGCCAGGUUCACAAGAUCAUAGACAUUUCCCAACAGAACAUUUCACCUUGAAAGGAGAUACACUUUGGGCUGGGAACCCAGUCGGGUUGAUUCAUAGACUAAUUUCCCAAUGUGGGACCAGUUGGCAGAGAUGUUUCUGCCUCUUAAAGAGAUAGAGCUGCCAGUAUGUGCUUAAGGAUUACAUCCAAUUCCAAAUUCCAGACUGCACUUGAGGCAUUGCACACACCCAAUAAACCCUGUCAGAACAGUGCAGUAAUUGUUUGAGAAAGAAAAUGAGACCCACAGUGCUGAGAGGAGGCCUGGUCUCCCAGGACCCUCUGCAGAGGUUGUUCUAAUUUAGGCCUGACAGGACAAGAGAGAUGUUUCUAGCUCCCUUACACCAGUAUUGGCCUAAUUUGGAAGAUUUUCAUCAUUCCCAAAGCCCCCACUGUUGCCUAACAGUGGACCCUGAUCGUUGUCAUUAAAGUUCCAUCUUGGUCAUGGAUAAUAAGCUGGGAGCAGGUGCCAUUUCUGUGAUUCUAAGAGCAAAGCUCCUGGAGAGGGAGCCUGGUGACACAGAGCCCUUGAUCAGAAGUCAGAGGGUGGGGAAGCCCACUGGGUGUCCAGCUGGUAGACUUGAGGCCUUCACUGGCCCUCUGUGGCCUCCUAGGUAAGCAAUGUUUUGUUUGAGUCUAAUAGCGACCUGGAAGUUAGAGGGUUAAGAUCUGACCCUGGCUCUGUUGUUAGUUUGCAAUGUGAAAUCUUGUCAAGGUCCCUUCUUUUUGUGGGUCUUUUUGUUUAUCAUUUGUGCAUGGACUUAUUUUCAGGGGCUGAUGCCUAAGUCUCCCUCUCACUCAUAUUUGCUCUUUUUGUGAGCUUUUUAGAAAUAUUUGCUCCUCUAAAACUGAGUUUCCUUACCAUCUAGUCCUCAGAAGCCAGCAUGAAAUUGAUCCAGCUUUCUUAAACUAGUCCACCAAAGGGCAUCAGAUCCUAAAGGCCCAAGACUUCUCUGGGAACCUCAGGAGGAAGGGAGUCAAGGGUCCACUUCUGCCAAGCACUCUCUCAGUCCUGAUGCUGCCUUUGGACAGGAAUAGACCGCAAUGAAGGAGGGGCUUCAUGGGGCUGAGGGCACAGAAGGCAGGGAGUAUGAGGGAGUAUGACUGCUCUGAGAGUCUAGAAUUUCUUGGCAUGGGAUCCCACGGACACUGCACCCUCUUGGCCUUGAUCUACUAUAUGGAAAGACAGGUUUAGGAAAAUCAGAGGAGGAACUGAGACCCAGAGCUGAAGUAACUUAAGCAACAUUACACAGCUAGAAUGAUCAGGAUUCAACCCAGGACUCUUGAUGGCUCGCUAACUGUUUCUCCUAAUAAAAAAUAAAGUGAAGAAAGCACAGUAAGCUGUUGUGGAAAUCACCCUGGACCUGAGGUCUAAAGCACUUCCAUUUAACAGCUUAGUAACCUUGGGCAAGUUAUUUGGCUACUUUGAAUUAUAAGAUGCUUGCUUAGAAAGUGGGGAUAGUCACUCCUUUAUUUCAUAGUACGAGAUUAACGGGGAUAAUGUAUAUGAAGUGCUUGGAAUUGAUGCUUGGUACAGAAUAAGUGCUCAGUAAAUGUUAGGCGUGGUUGCUAUUGUUAUUAUCACUGCUACUAUUGUCACUAGCAGCUUCCUUCUUGGCUUGUUGCAAUGCUCAAGUGAGAUAAUGUCUGGGGAAGUGCUGUUUGCUGUGCACCUGUCAGUAAUCCUGUCCCCUUUACUACAAUUCUAGCAACCUCAGGGGAAGAGUUAUUUGUGAAACUCUGGCCCCAUUCCUCCCCAAAAUGGUUCAGAUUCUUUGCUCUGCAGCCAACGCUGAUGACGAACGAGGGUUUGACUUGGUGCCCACUGUGAAUGACGUCCUUCAGGAGAUCUCCAAGAACUGCAGCAAAUGCUUUCCUGAGCUUAUUUUAGCAUUAGAGGGACCUCGAAGGAGGAUGUCAACAUUUGGCUUCAUCAUUUGGAGGUGGUCCCGUGCAAUUAAUGUGGUUUGACGCGAUCUUUUUUCCCCCUCAUCAUCCUAAGAAGAGAUACCAAGGAGUGGAUCAAGGAGUGGUUGGCAGACACAGCUCUACAUUCAAAGGAAUUCUAGUGUUGGUUAUUAGUAAUUUUGAGAGUAAUAUAUGUUCAUUGUAAAAAUAUUUGGAAAAUGCACAAAAAUAUGAAGGAGAACAAUUUAAAAUAUCCAU
ensembl:lncRNA